rnacentral:misc_RNA from 1 species
AAGUCGUAACAAGGUCUCCGUUGGUGAACCAGCGGAGGGAUCAUUAUAGAGUUUUUUAAACUCCCAACCCAUGUGAACUUACCAUUGUUGCCUCGGCAGAAGCUACCUGGUUACCUUACCUUGGAACGGCCUACCCUGUAGCGCCCUACCCUGGAACGGCCUACCCUGUAACGGCUGCCGGUGGACUACCAAACUCUUGUUAUUUUAUUGUAAUCUGAGCGUCUUAUUUUAAUAAGUCAAAACUUUCAACAACGGAUCUCUUGGUUCUG